rnacentral:rRNA from 1 species
GGACCCGCACAAGUAGCGGAGCAUGUGGUUUAAUUCGAAGCAACGCGAAGAACCUUACCUACACUUGACAUCCCUUGCAUUACUCUUAAUCGAGGAAAUCCCUUCGGGGACAAGGUGACAGGUGGUGCAUGGUUGUCGUCAGCUCGUGUCGUGAGAUGUUGGGUUAAGUCCCGCAACGAGCGCAACCCUUGUCGUUAGUUACUACCAUUAAGUUGAGGACUCUAGCGAGACUGCCUGGGUUAACCAGGAGGAAGGUGGGGAUGACGUCAAAUCAUCAUGCCCCUUAUGUGUAGGGCUACACACGUGCUACAAUGGCUGGUACAGAGAGAUGCAAUACCGCGAGGUGGAGCCAAACUUAAAAACCAGUCUCAGUUCGGAUUGUAGGCUGAAACUCGCCUACAUGAAGCUGGAGUUACUAGUAAUCGCGAAUCAGAAUGUCGCGGUGAAUACGUUCCCGGGUCUU